CGUGCUUACUAUGCAGUCGAGCGGAAGGCCCCUUCGGGGGUACUCGAGCGGCGAACGGGUGAGUAACACGUGAGCAACCUGCCCCUGACUCUGGGAUAAGCCCGGGAAACUGGGUCUAAUACCGGAUACGACCACCGGCCGCAUGGUCUGGUGGUGGAAAGAUUUUUCGGUUGGGGAUGGGCUCGCGGCCUAUCAGCUUGUUGGUGGGGUAGUGGCCUACCAAGGCGACGACGGGUAGCCGGCCUGAGAGGGCGACCGGCCACACUGGGACUGAGACACGGCCCAGACUCCUACGGGAGGCAGCAGUGGGGAAUAUUGCGCAAUGGGCGGAAGCCUGACGCAGCGACGCCGCGUGGGGGAUGACGGCCUUCGGGUUGUAAACCUCUUUCAGCAGGGACGAAGGUGACGUGUACCUGCAGAAGAAGCGCCGGCUAACUACGUGCCAGCAGCCGCGGUAAUACGUAGGGCGCAAGCGUUGUCCGGAAUUAUUGGGCGUAAAGAGCUCGUAGGUGGCUGGUCGCGUCUGCCGUGAAAGCCCGCAGCUUAACUGCGGGUCUGCGGUGGAUACGGGCCGGCUGGAG
rnacentral:rRNA from 1 species